UUUUUUUUGUUUUUUUGUUUUUUAAUGUUUGUGCCGUUAACACGUUGAAUUAAUUCCUCAGUUUGCCUUGAUAUAAAACAGAUUUAGGGUUUGGGUGUUGAGGGUUUAACUGGAGAGAAGUUAUGAGAAGAGGAAAUGACAGUAGAACAAGAGAGACUAUCAGGGGGUAGAUGGGGUUAAAUUCAGGUCCUGCAAAUAAAAACUCACAUAUCUUCUAGACUACCUGAACCAGCAUCCCAUGCAUCCAAUCCAGUUCAAUGUCCUCCUUGGGAAGAGGUUCCCAUCUACCACCCCUUAUUGUGAAAGGUGGAUGUAUCUAUUCUCUGAACAUGUAUUAGGGAUUCAGGACUCAAAAUGGGCCUGUUCAGAAGCCUCAAUACCUGUCCAGAAAAUGCUACCUUCUUAUAAGAUGCAAAGCCAUUUUCAAUCAGAGCAAAAAUAAUGUGCAGCUCAAAUCUUGUUUUCAUAUAUAAUUAUGAAUCAUUUAUCCUGGCUUGAGCCCUGCUGAGCAUGGUUCCAUCCGAGAAUCACCAUAAUCCCCCUGAGAACACAGACCUCCUUGCUUCAGCACUUCCCCACUGAGGGCUUAUUAGAGAAAAUACACAGAAGCUACACGACCAAAACAAACCCUUUACCUGAGACUAUCAAAGAUGUUACCUACAGCAGCGAUAUACAACGGAGGACCUCAGGGUGUGUGCACCCUUCAUGUAAUGCCACCAUUCAUUAUCUGCGUGUCACUCUGCAUUUGGCUUUGCAGCCACUUGUCUUGCCGAAAAUGAGCAGUAGGAUGAUAGAAGAGUGGAAACAGAAAGCUGCUUUCUUGGGCAUCAAAAGAAAACUGAAUCCUGAAAUUAACACGUAUUUCCUUUCUUAUCUAAGGUAGGGCCAGGACCAACCCUAGGCAGUUUGCCCUGUGGCAAAGUUUAUUUUCUUCCAUUGCUACACCCUGUUGUCCCCACAUUGCAUCUCCUUUUCAAAGUGCCAACCAUCCAUUCUGUAGCACUACACCGACUGACCGGGUUACGCGUUUUCCUGUAACUUUCAUUCACACCUUCUUCCUGCUUUUUUUCCAGCUGAAUAUGUGUAGUCUUCUACUAUUUUCUCAUAAUUAAGUAGGGAAGCUGGACAGCAUAAUGAUUAUGAAUAUGGGCUUUUGAGCUUCAGUGUCUGAGUUCAAAUCCUGUCUCCAGCACUAAGUAGCUGUGUGGCUCCAGGCAAGUAAUCCAGCCCUCAUUUCUGUCUGCUUUCUCAUCAAUAUGAUGAGCUACCUCAUGGGGUGGUCAGAGAGGCAUAUAUAGUAUGUGAUUAAAGAGAAGUUUGUUUCCUUCCCCACACUGUUCUAUAUCUUGUCUCACCCUUGUCUUUCUCUUUUGGUCACCCUCAUCUGCAGCCCUUCUUCCUAAAAUGGGUUGUUAGGAGCACAGUGCACCUGGUCACAGCCCCUGUGAUGGUUUUCUUCUGGACUGUGUACUUCUCUAAUAGCAUACACAUCUUUAUAUUUAACCCACUUCUUGUAAUAGAAUUUGGGAGAGCUCCUCAGAUGCAGGUUAUUUGUUUCCAAACAUUUUACCAUUCCUUUGCCUUCUUAUCAAACAACACUGAAAUGCCCUUCUUAAGAUAGGAAUAAUAUAGAAGGAAAUGCUUUGGCCUCACCCACAGCUGAAUGAAGGCUGGCUUGUACCCCAAACACAACUUCAGCUUCAUUUCUAAUUGAGAUUUAAAGUCUUUUUACCCCUAUGAUGUUCUCUCUUUUAAGCUCAAUAUUCAGUGGUACGAUAUAUUAGUUGCUGUAAAAUAUCUUUUUCAGGCAGGGAAUGUGAGCUAUUAGCAGGGCUAUAAUAUGCCAGCUAAAAGGAAAAGGGUUAUAGGCGUGGGUGUGGGCAAGAGGUGUUCUAUGCAACCCCACUGGGACAUCACCACUUUAGAAAACAAUUUUACAGUCAUAUAGUUAAAUUAACUGGUAGUUAGAGGCAAUUAUGUGAUAAAGUAAAAAUAUUUAUGUUCUUUAGAGCUCCAAAACUGUCAUUUGAAGUGUGACAAAUUUUUAAGUAAUUUCACCUGCAACUUUUGAAAGAUUAAUUCUAUGACUAAGGGCAUAAAAUUGAAACAGGUUGCCACUGUAAAAUAAAAUCAAACUUAUCUCCUCCUUGUAAUUUUGCUUGAAUUUAGUGCUCAUGGAAUGUCUCACUGUCAUAGUUUCUGUGCUUCAAGUCUUUAUUUUCUAAACAACUGCAAUUUGAAAUUUAAGACUUUAAAAAGCAAUCCUCCCUUAAGAAGUUCAAAAUACAUGCGUGUACACAUGCAUACACACACUUGUACAGUUCUUGGUGCCCUGCUGUAUCAUGUUUGGGGCAUUUUUUUUAUGGUAAGCACAAGCUCAUACUUUUUCUUAUUUUCAUUAAAAAGUCCAUUGGAAGCCAUAAGCCAUUAAAAAAAAAAAGAAAAGAAAUCACCUACUAUCAUAUCUUCUACACAGCUAUUUUAUGGUUACUCAUUAUCAUUUUUGUCUCUGCUCAUGUACAUUUACAUUUUUACACAAUUGCAACUAUAGUGUAUAUACAAUUUUGUGUUUUUCUUCAGUACUUCAUAUUGUGCAUUUUUAGUGUUGUUAGUCUCCGUGACCAUCAUUUUAACAAGCUGCAAAAUAUUAUUUUGAGUGACUACAUCAUAAUUCAUUUUACUAUUCUUCUAUCAUUGGGUGCUUCAGUGGUUUCUAGUAUUUCACUCUUGUAAAUAGUGCUGCAAUGAACAUUUUUAUGCUAUGGCUUUCUCUUUUCUUUUAUUAAAUUUCCUUGGGCUAGAAUCCCACAAGUGGGAUUAGCAGGUUAAAAUACAUGUGCUUUUUACUUUGGUAGCUCUGGAUACCCAAGGUCAAAUUGCUUUUCAAAGUAUUUUAUCAAUUGACAUGACCUCCAGCAAUAUAGUUCAUCUAUACUUUUGUGUAUAAAUUUGAUAGCAACAUGUUUAUUUAUAUGGCUUCACUGAUAUUAUACAUAAUUCUAAAGCAUUUACUGGGUCUCCUAAUCUUUGGCCUUGGUGGAAGGCCUUUUGCUCCUGCAGCUUUCAUGGGUGUCACAGCAUUCAAAUGCAAGUGCAUACAGGGACACACACAUAUAAGCCCCAGAUGUCAGAUGGGUAGUUCAGUAGGAGUAGCGGAGAUCAGUCAGAUAUUUGCCCUUAUGUAUUGGAAGUACAAAGACAUAAAGGAAAAAACAUAGUAUGUGGAGUUCAGUCUUCAGGCUUUCUCACCUUGCUCUCACCUCUUCUUUCCACCACUUAACUGCCUCAGUCUUAAACUCCAGCCCCUGCCGAGGCUGUGCUCUCUUUCAUUCCUGGCAGGACACCAGCCUUUGUGUAUUGCUGUUGGUCUACCUGGCCUUUCGCCAUAGUCUACCUGCCUCUGAAUGUCACCAUGAGAAAAUGUGUAUAUUCAAUUCAUCCCUUCCCCCAACCUCAAACUGCUCCCUGUCAUGUAGACAAAGGGCUGCCCACAGAGCUGUGCGUGGAGUAGGCCCACCGAGUGCAAAAUAGCACAGAGGAUAAACAUGUUCCUGGCUGACCAAGCAAUGGAUAAGCUUGCUAAUCUCCCACCAAUACAGUUCAUGAGUUGUAGUCAUCUAAUCAUAGGAGUCUGGAUCAGAGCCAGUAACUCAUUUCACAUGGGUCACUCAGGAGCCCAAGAUAGAAAUAAGUUUAAAUCAAUGCAAUCAAAAGGUGAAAACCUCCAUAUAACUGGAGGUGUAAGGAGCAGAGCUUAUUGGCAUCUUGAAUUGUUGUAGCUCUCAUAAAAAGUUAUAGCUUUAACCUUUCAUAUAUGAUGGUUCUAGUCUAAUUUUUAUUACAAUAUUAUGGAUAAUGUAUGUCUAUUAGAGAAAAUGUGUGCUUUUGAAAAUGAUAAUGCCAUAUUUACUUUUACAUUUUCUUGCUCAUAGAAUUUGGCCCCCAUUUCGGAAAAUUCCUGCUUGGGACAGCAAUGACAAAGGUCGGUUUUUCAGAGCUUAUAGGGUAUCAGGUUCCCAGCCAUAAGAGGUUGAAAUAAUAAUAAAGGCACCAUGUACCUCUGGAGUAGUUCUUGUAAAUGACCUGAGGGUUACCUUGAGCCUGAAAAAGGAACUGCUCUAUACCUUUGUUAAGUAUGAUGCUCACCUGGCCAUUGUAGCUUAGAACUGGGCCCAUAUGGAUGGGUGGGUGGGUUAAGCUGCUGGACCAGUCCAUCAGUGAAGAUGAUUAAAUCACAGAAAUUCUCACACUCCCAGAUUCUUUUGCUGAAGAUUGGUUCUCACAUUAGGAACACAUUCUGUAUUCUAUUAAAAAGGUGCUGCUUCUAUAAAGAUCUACAUACAAAAUUAACUGCAAGCAGGAGCAAAUAGCACUGAGCUAUUUGUCACUUAAUGGAAAGAAGUGAGGAAGUAC
rnacentral:lncRNA from 1 species